rnacentral:rRNA from 1 species
GAUGAACGCUAGCGGCAGGCUUAAUACAUGCAAGUUGAGGGGCAGCAUGAUAUACGCGAGUAUAUUGAUGGCGACCGGCGGACGGGUGAGUAAUAGGUAGGAGACCUACCUCAUACAGGGGGAUAGCAUAGAGAAAUCUGUGGUAAUACCCCAUGAGGUUAUAUGAAUAGAGGCAUAUAAUCAAAGCAUAAGCGAUUAUGCGGUAUGAGAGGGGCCUACUGACCAUUAGCUAGUUGGUGAGGUAAGGGCUCACCAAGGCGAAGAUGGUUAGGGGUUUUGAGAGAGAGACCCCCCACAUUGGAACUGAGAGACGGUCCAGACUCCUACGGGAGGCAGCAGUAGGGAAUAUUGGGCAAUGGGCGAAAGCCUGACCCAGCCAUGCCGCGUGAAGGAAGACGGCCUUAUGGGUUGCAAACUUCUUUACUACGCGAAUAGAGGUUAGUACGAGAUACUAAUAGGAAGGUAGUGUAGUAAAAGCACCGGCUAACUCCGUG